rnacentral:sRNA from 1 species
UAUUCUGCCCUACGGGGAAGGAUGAGAAGCUUCGACUAAGGUUCGACUCGAGCGUAGCGAGAGAACGUUGCAGCAGGCAACGGCCCGAAGGGCGAGGCGCUUUAGCGCCGAGUAAUCCUUCCCCCACCACCA